rnacentral:lncRNA from 1 species
AGAGUGACUUACUAUACAUGUUGAAGUGCUCUGAUGGAAGGAACAGAAACCUCUGAAAGGAAGCCGUCAAAGUAGGAACUGCCAACAAAAAUGUAGUGAUUGAGGAUUGGGGCCUAAUAAAAAGCACCUGUCUGGAAGCCAUGGCACUUGAUGUUUCUGAGGUGUCACAGGAAUAGAGUAGAAUCACGAAAAGAGAGAGAACCUCCUCGCAUCCGGCAGCACACCUAACGUUCAUUGGCACAGUGGCCUCAUCAGCACCUCUGACAUGAUCUAACUAUCCCUGUCUUCUUGUUUCCUUCAAGUCCUUCUGGAAUCUCCUUUCUAAGAUGGGAGUAAAGAUACAAAGGAAA